rnacentral:rRNA from 1 species
UUUUGGACAAUGGGCGCAGGCUUGAUCCAGCAAUGCCGCGUGAGUGAAGAAGGCCUUCGGGUUGUAAAGCUCUUUUGUCAGGGAAGAAACGGUGAGUUCUAAUACAGUUUGCUAAUGACGGUACCUGAAGAAUAAGCACCGGCUAACUACGUGCCAGCAGCCGCGGUAAUACGUAGGGUGCAAGCGUUAAUCGGAAUUACUGGGCGUAAAGCGUGCGCAGGCGGUUAUGUAAGUCAGAUGUGAAAUCCCCGGGCUCAACCUGGGAAUGGCAUUUGAGACUGCAUGGCUAGAGUGUGUCAGAGGGGGGUAGAAUUCCACGUGUAGCAGUGAAAUGCGUAGAGAUGUGGAGGAAUACCGAUGGCGAAGGCAGCCCCCUGGGAUAACACUGACGCUCAUGCACGAAA